CUCAUGGCCAUCUUGAGCCAGCUCUCAGAGGGGAAUCUUUUAUAGUUAAAUGUAUAUGGCCAUGCAGUGUUAGUUACAGCUUCCUUUCAGAUGCAGAUAUACAGCAGCUUUGGUCUGGUGACUUCCUCCCCUGCAGUACUGCACAGCUGUAAGGAAGCUGUGAUGGCUCUGAGGAAGGAGUUCGGGUUCUGCAGCUGAUGUUCCCAUCUCCAGCAUAUGGAGGGGCUUAGUGCUGCUGUAGGAGCUGCUACUGUGCACCGAGCCAUGCCUGAGGAAUGGGGAUAUUCAUACUGAGGAAAUAUGCCACCAGCCUAUGUUGCUGCUCUGAGCUUGCUCCCAUACCACGGUUCUUGUGCCAGCUGUUUGACACUGCACAGGCUGGAAAGAGCCUUGCACGUGUGAAGCAUGCUGCUGGGAGCACCACGUCUGCAGCUGCUGCUGCAAGUUGCAGCUGAAUGUGCUUUGAGGUAUGCCGGGAUUUGGGGAUAGAGGUGCGAGUCUGGCAACAGAGCCACUUGACCCUGAGGUUGGGAGGUGGCAUUGCAGAUCCAUCUUGGAGACACGAUGAUCACCUGGUGCCUUGGCCCCUUUUUCUUCUCUUAGCUCAGUACCACCAAGCCAGCUCCUUGUAGUGGACAAUCAGCCCUGCAGGUUGUUUGGUGCCUCCAAAGAUUCUGCUCCAGAAGCCUCCUUGGUUCAGUGCCUGGCAUCACCUGCAGGGCAGAAAGUGCCAUCAUUCAGCAGACAGCGUGCAAAGUGCCAUCUGGUGCAAGUGGGCUGGGGGGGGAAUUAAAAUGUGCUCUCAGAGGAAGAAGAGGCUGCAGACACGUGUUCAUCAGCUCCUGUGUCACUAGCAGGCUGGAGGAAUGCUGGAGCACGUUUAAAGCAGCAGCUUAAUUAAAUGGUGCUGCAGUUCUCACCUUGCCUCUAACUGUCUCUAGCUGUUGGCUUAUUGCAUCUAGCCUCAUGUUCCGAAAGGGAAGAACAACCAUGCACGUAGCCAAAAAUCUAGGUUGCUGGCCAAAAGCAUCCCAGAGCAUCUGGCUUGACCUCAGAGGAAUCACCCUGCUUCUGCUGCUGACCACUCUCCGUGCCUCUGAUCUCUGCAGCUCCUUGACAUUGUCUGUGAGAGGAGAACACACAGCAAAGGCUGGUUUGCAAAGAGAGGCAGCUGCUGUCACCUCCUGCCCUGUCAGUAGCACUGGUGCAUCUGCUCCCCACCCCAGAGCAGCUUCUGUGUGAGGAUGCUGUGCUGCUUGCAGGGGAUGUCCAGCUGUGAGCAUCCUUGGGGACCAGUGAACAACACCGGGCAGCUAUGCUUCAGCACUGUCCUUCGAGGAGUUUUGGUCCUUGCUACAGCACUAUUCCCAAAGAUGAGCAUCGGGAACCACAAGCACCUUUCCCCGUCUUUUUGCAUUUGUGGGAUCUGACCUACUUUUUGUAAUUGCAGCACAACAGCCUCCCUUGUUUUCUGACUUGCAGGAGCAGCAGUGCCUUGUGCUGCAAUAAGCUGCACCUUAGCAAAUUUGCUCCAAGGAAGGAAGGCAGUUACAGGGGAGGCCGAUGGCACUGCUCACGUGGUGACCUCCCACUCCUCCAUGGAUCCCACAGCCACAUGUAUCUGUGCACCAAUGGCCAUAGCUUUCCCCGAGGGUGCAUCUGGAUUUUGGGAUGCAGGGAUGAAGCCACUUCUAUACCAUGGUUUGCAAGGGGGCACAGCUAGGAGCAUCCCCAUGGAGAAAUUUUGCUCUUCUGCUGCCCAUGCACUGUCUGAUGAGCAGCUGCUGAGAGCCAGGGAGAGGCACCCAGGAUGUGCUGUGGGCUUUGGGAGGACCAAGUUCCAACAGCAGGGGAACAGCAAUGCACACUCUUUCCCCUUGUAAAUAUUUCUUCCAAAGACACUGCAGCUGUCUGGGAUGCUCCUACACAACAGCGAGUCGUAAGUGAUGGCUUUCUUUGAGUAAUAUAGACUGGGACUCAGUUAAAUGUAUCAAAUUAACUGUCAGAAUAAUCUUCCAGGACGCGAUGAGCCCAAAGAUUAAGCAGCAUGUUAUUCUUUCUUUGUGCUUUUUUUUUUUUUAUCUUAGCAGAAGGGAUUUACUUUAGAUUCCAAAAUCCAUAUUUGAAAUGAAUUGCAAACAGUUUCUUGUAGUCUUGGCCCAUAUGAAAAGGAUUAUUACCCAAAACAACACUUCUGUCAGGGGGAAUGUAGGUUAAAGAGAAAUGGGAAUGUAAAUAAAUGUGCAGGCUUUGCAGUGCGUUCUGCAGGGGGCAUGUUUAUUUUCUCUUUUGAUUCCCCAAGCCCGGCUUCCUAUGCAAUUAAAGGGUCCAGCUCUUCCCUGCAAAACAUGCUCUCAUUUCUUUUUUGUGUCACCAGUAAAUAUUUGGGCUGAAACUGUUUAAACAUAAGCUUUCAAUAAUCUUUGUUUUGCUUUUUCUGGUUCUCUGGCUGAGACCUGGUUUGAAUUUCCAUAGACUAAAAAUACAUCAUUUUGUUUGAAGAGCUUAGAUGAUCUUGUUCAUUUUGCUGUUUAUCUAUUACCAGGAGAGCCUAAUCCUUCUCUGAUUGAUGUUCAGCGUCACGUAGUUAAGCAGCGAUACAGGCUGUGGAGCAGGGAGUUGUUAUUCUUAGCUGGGCUUUUCAGGUACCUGAGCCCACUGCUGACAUUAUGCAUCCACCACACAUUAAAUUGCAUUGCCCUAAUCAAGCGUGCUGCCAUAGGUCAGCAGCAAAAAAUGUGAAGAAAUAGAUGCACGAAGGUGAUAAAAGACAGAAAUGGCAGAGGAUAUUAGGAGGCACAGGGCAGAGGGAGAUUGGUAGCAGUCAAUCCUGAUUUUCAAGAUAAGGCCGUGACUCUCCGGCGCCAUGCCCUGCAUUAUUCAUGUGUGAACGCUGGCGGGGAAGGGCUGUGUGCACCCAACGCUUGGGUUCAGCCUUCACUCUGAUAUUUAUCCAUGUGUUUAUUUGGGGCUCUGAAUUGCAACUUCCCUUCUAGGAUGUUCUAUGCUAAACAGCUGGUGAUUUCUUUAUUUAAAGACCUUCAGGGUAAAGAAGUGGACAAGGAGAGAAAGCCCAAAGCUUUCAAAGGGUAUCUCAGUCUACUGGGUUUCUAGAUACUCGUGUCAAAGUUAGAAAGCAAUGUUAAUUACGGGCAUCUAGAAAGAGCCAUAAUUAUCUGUCAUUCAUGGUGACAAGUUGACAUCGCCCGUUUGGAAGGUUCGGCAUUACCAUUCACAAUCUUAAGAGCUUAGGCUGCAAUGAUAACUACUUCUGACAACCUCAGGAGAUGAGCUUGAUGUUUUUGAUAUAUGUAUGUGCAGGAGGGGUUGUAUGGCACACAGGUAUGUGGCUGGGCCUUCCACGGGCAAAGAGCAACCAGGUAUCUUAUCAUAGAGUCACAGGACUGUUUGAGUUGGACAGAACCUUUAAAGGCCAUCUAGUCCAACUCCCCAGCUUUUCAUGCUGAGCAACUUUGGUGUUGGAAAAGGAAGGAAAUAAUCAUGGAAAAAAAGGAAGCACCAAAGGUGGGGAGCCCCUCGUGCCCCCUGCAUAGCUUGUAUUGCAGAUUUGCCACCAUGUCCAGGGUCACAUUCAGCUCAAUGCCGUACACCUAACGGUACCGAUCUCUUCCCAGUAGCCAACAUGGAAUGCAAUAAAACUGCAGUCACUUCAUUGUGCACCUCCCUCUUGUCCCAUUCCCGUUUCACCCAGGAGCAGCGGAGCACAAACCUGCCAUCCCAUGGAGCAGUGCUGUGGGCUGCUGCUGGGUUGGGAACUGGCCAGAAGUGUGGGAGCUUCAUCCUCUGCUCCUCAAAACCUCCUGGUGACUUUUCUUUCUUGCAGGAGAAGCCCCAACUGGAAAUCCUGGUUUGAUUUUUGCAUGCUCUUGUGUGGAGCUAGGAGUUGGGCUCAGUGAUCCUUGUGGGUCCUUUCCAGCACAGGGUACUCUGUGAUCCUUGCCUAGAAAACUGGUAAAAAAACUAUCAGCCAUUGAGAGUUGCUCUGUAUAUUCCCCGUAUCUAUGUUUGCAACUGCCAUCGAAAUCUUUCUAGGAGUGUCUCAACUGAGUUAAUGGGACUGGAGGGGCAGUAAUGCCAGACCCAAAUAACAGAUGCAGCACAAGGAGCUCAGGAGUGAAGAGCACCCAUGUGCACACUGUGCAAAGCUGAGCAUGGAACGUCGGAUCUUUCUUAGCCGGGUGUUUGUUAGUUCCCUUGUCAGAUAUCAGUCUCUUAGAGAGUUGGCAUCUCUCAUCUCCUUCUUGGCUCUGUCUUCUCUGUGUGUCUGCUUAACGGAGAUGCAGAUGCUCCUGCUCGGCUCAGGGCUGUGCAGGAAUCAAGAGACCCAGAGUCUGCCACUUCUGGCCCUGCAGAGCAUUCCUGCAUGCUCUAUUCACCCACGUGCCCUACUCCCCCAUGUUCCCCCGUGGCUGAUCCCUGAGUUAUGGUGCAGGUAGCUGGCCAGCUUGGGGUUGGCCGCAUGGCUCAAGAGAUAAAGAACACAGAAUCCUUCAGCACUCGUGAUUAAUAAUGUGUCAUGAGAGGUGAGAGCCAUUUGUCUGUGGAAUUCGUUAACAGCGUCUAAUAUUAGUAAUAACAGAAACAAAUAAAGAAGGAAACUAAAAAGAAUCCCCAUCCAGACCCAAAUCCAAGAUAAAUAAUGUAAGGAGCGUCUCCUGGGAUCGUUUCUCUAUGGAUUAGAUCAAUAGCAACAUCCAAACGAAGCCAGGAGAGUGGCUCUGAGCCCAGAGCUCUGCGGUGCUGGCAGUAUCCACAGCCCUUUCAUGGUUUAUUACACAGACGUUUUCCCUGCACAUCACAAAGUUCCCUGGCUGACUAAUAUACAGCCACUGUCGAAAUAAAUAUUUUGCUAAUUUUUUCUUUCUAGAGGAGAGAUCAAGCAGUAACUCCUCAUUGCUGCCGGGAAAGAGGAUGCAAAAAGCUGAGUCUGUAACAGGUCAGGCUUACAUUAGAAACUGUGAACGCAGAUCGAAAAGGAAAUCUGCAUUCAUUCUGCCCUUUGAGUGGAUGUGAGACAUAGCGAAGUUUGGUAUGUAAAAGUAUUUUUGUAUGUAAGGAAUCACGUUUGUGGUCUGGGCACACGGAUGAAGUUGAUAAGAAUCUCUGCUGGACCUUGACAUGGGAUUUCUAACUAAUGUGAUGGAUUUCUUUGUUUGCUGUGUUUAUUUUUUGUCCUCAGCUCAACCGGUCUUGUAGUGUUUAUUGUGCAAUUCAUUAUUUAUACCUCAGCAUUCAGCUGCCCUCAUCGGAUCAGCAAAUACACAGCAGGAAAGCCCCUUCUCUAAAGAGCUUCAGCGCUUGGUGCUAAUGAGAAGACAAAGGUGCCUGCUGCUCUCCUGCACCACGUUCUGCUCACAGUAACAAGCAGCUUGUUUCCCUCUGUGGCCUGGGAGUGGAUGGGAUUUUGCCUUUCAUACCUUUUUGGCUGGAGGGUGCAGGUUGGGGCUGAAGGUGAAGGAUUCACCCAUUCUGGGAAGAGACAAAGAUUUGCGACAUCCUCCCCUUCCUGUAAAUCUUAACACAUCACUGUUUUUCUAAAACCAAAAUGAAUAUUUCAUCUAUGGAAGCUGUCAGCCGGGUGCCUGCAUGUCGAGCAACCAGAGCGACCUUGCAGUUCCCUGCAGGAAUGCUGCAGGAGGUGAGGCCAAGGAGCCAUCCUCCCAACACGUAGCCUCCACUUGGAGGACUAAAAAGGAUUGAGCUACACCUCAGACUUCUUUCUCUGUCUUACAACUUCCCAGUUUCUCUUCAGGAAGAAGCAUAGAAAUGGUUUGCCACGUUCCUGAUGAUUGCAGAAAGGGAGCAAAAUAUACAGUGAUGGUUGAAAUGGUUUAUCAUCUAGAGUGCUCCAAAGGAUAAACAACACAGAGAAUGAGAGAACUGCUGGAACUCAACCUUUUGACAGCACGUGAAAUCCCAAUAACAAUCUUGGAAAUGUGCUGAUUGAGGGAUUAGCAUGAAAGGCAUCCAGCUGGGGUGCUCUGCUCUGCUCUGGGUGGCAGCACCGGGAACCUCGAGGAAGGUCAGUAGAUCGCUCCAACUCUCGGUCCUUCCUGCUGGAAACAGCGUAAGAAGCUCCUCGUGGAGGACCAGAUGCUGUAUCUGUGCAUAUUGUGCCAGAGUAAACAGAAUAAGAAAACCCUUUUCAUUUGUUUGAGCAGCUGCCAAUCUCCAGUGCAUUUUCCACUUCAGCAUUUGCAAAGACAAACUGGCCGUGUAACUGUAUUUCUAAUGAUAGUGUGUAAUUUAAAUACCUAUUUCUAUUGCUAUUGAAACGUUACGAGCAACCUCUAAAAGUGCGAUCAGAAGGGUUACAAGUGCAGUGACAUAGAAGAAGCCCAUUGUGCCAGCCAGGCACAUUUCUCCUGGCUGCAUUACAUCUGAGAGCGGGCAGAAAAGCAACAUCGUGAAAUAAGACCUGGAGGAUCUGGCGUGGUUUCUGUUUUAAGGUAUGGCUGCUAUGUCAUCCUCAUCUCCAUCUCAACUAUUUCUGCAACGGUGCUCAUUCAAACACAGGCAGAUAGAUAUGGCCAGAAAUGCAGACUUGGCACCAUAUAGGAUGCAAAGAAUAUUAUAUACCUCCUAGGAAGAUAAAGUCAUGUCAAGUGAGAAGCACAAAGCUGUCACCUUGCGCUGUAGCCCUGCACAGCCUCAUGCGAUUGUGUGCAUUUGCCUCCAACACGGAAGGCUGCUGCAAUCUCUGUUGCUGGCAUUUUGAGGACAACUUACGACGUUAAUGAAAAGGGUGUGAGCCCGAACCACAUCAGCCCUGUGUGUAAGUGGGGGAGAGCACUGAGGUUUGGGGUUAUCCCCAGCUGCGCCCCAGGCAAUGCCCCUUAAGCCCCAAGUGCUGCACAACUGGGGGAGGACAGUGGCGGACUUUAGGUGGUUUGCAGGAACACAAUGCUGACUGCAGACUGUACAGCUCCUUAAUUAAUGACUUGCUGGCUUCAUUCUCGAGCCAUGGCUCCUCCAUUAGACUAUUCCAGUCACAUACGCUCCUGAAACAGCUUCAGCUCUUUGAGAUGCAGUCCAAGAGAUGAAUAAAUAACAAUAAGCUCCUGCUGGAAUGCAUUCAGGAAACAUUUGAUAGAAACUCAUUUAUUUUACUUUAUUAUUUAGCAAGCUAAUAUAUAAACUCACCUAACAUAACAGCAGAUUAGCUGAGGCACUCACUUUCUAUUAGCGCGUGGUUACGUUACUGAAAGCCUCAAGUAUAUUUUCAGAGAGGG
ensembl:lncRNA